UACACAUGCAGUCGAACGAUGACUUUUGUGCUUGCACAGAAUGAUUAGUGGCGAACGGGUGAGUAACACGUGAGUAACCUGCCCCUGACUCUGGGAUAAGCCUGGGAAACUGGGUCUAAUACUGGAUAUGCACCGUAGACCGCAUGGUUUUUGGUGGAAAGAAUUUUGGUCAGGGAUGGACUCGCGGCCUAUCAGCUUGUUGGUGAGGUAAUGGCUCACCAAGGCGACGACGGGUAGCCGGCCUGAGAGGGUGACCGGCCACACUGGGACUGAGACACGGCCCAGACUCCUACGGGAGGCAGCAGUGGGGAAUAUUGCACAAUGGGCGAAAGCCUGAUGCAGCGACGCCGCGUGAGGGAUGACGGCCUUCGGGUUGUAAACCUCUUUCAGUAGGGAAGAAGCGAAAGUGACGGUACCUGCAGAAGAAGCGCCGGCUAACUACGUGCCAGCAGCCGCGGUAAUACGUAGGGCGCAAGCGUUAUCCGGAAUUAUUGGGCGUAAAGAGCUCGUAGGCGGUUUGUCGCGUCUGCCGUGAAAGUCCGAGGCUCAACUUCGGAUCUGCGGUGGGUACGGGCAGACUAGAGUGAUGUAGGGGAGACUGGAAUUCCUGGUGUAGCGGUGAAAUGCGCAGAUAUCAGGAGGAACACCGAUGGCGAAGGCAGGUCUCUGGGCAUCUACUGACGCUGAGGAGCGAAAGCAUGGGGAGCGAACAGGAUUAGAUACCCUGGUAGUCCAUGCCGUANACGUUGGGCACUAGGUGUGGGGGACAUUCCACGUUUUCCGCGCCGUAGCUAACGCAUUAAGUGC
rnacentral:rRNA from 1 species